UACGAUGAGGCUCACAUCCUUAGAGCUACUCUCAAACAUUUUUGUCUGGUAAAUAUGCGUGAACCGGUAAACUAAUCAAACCGGGCAGGCGUUCUGGUCGAUGUUGCGUUCGGUCUGGUUUGCUCUGUUGUGUUUAUGUGUCUUUCUUCUACUCAUCUCUCUCUGCCGUCUCGUUGCCAUGUCUGUAGAGCUUAAACUCUCCCGAUCGAACCGUAUCUUUCGCCCUAAUGAACCACUUGAAGGCAAAAUCAUCACAAAGCUUCCAUCUUCAAUCUCCCACAACGGGAUUCGCCUCACUGUCAAUGGAUCAGUCACCUUACAGGUCCGUGGUGGAUCGGCUGGAGUGAUCGAGUCUUUAUAUGGUGUUCUCAAGCCUAUUCCCAUUGUGAAUAAAAGUAUUGAGGUCAGAUCUUCUGGAAGGAUAGGUUCAGGUACAACAGAGAUUCCAUUUUCUGUGAUUCUGAAACAUCCAGGAGAUGACAAUUUAGAAAGAUUUUAUGAAACCUUUCAUGGAGGAAAUGUCAGCAUCCAGUAUCUGGUAACUGUAGACAUAGUUAGGGGAUACCUGCACAAGUCAUUGUCUGCCACUGUGGAGUUCAUAAUUGAGAGUGAAAAAGCUAGUCUCCCUGAUCAACCAGUUUCUCCUGAACUGGUCAUAUUUUACAUUACCCAGGACACGCAAAGACAUUCAUUACUUCCUGAACUAAGAUCAGGUGGGUUCCGAGUAACUGGUAAAAUUGGCACUCAGUGCUCGCUGUCGGAUCCUCUUAAGGGCGAGCUAACAGUUGAAGCGUCUGCAGUUCCUAUUCAUUCCAUUGAUAUCCACUUGCUUCGUGUAGAGUCAAUUCUGGUCGGAGAAAGGAUCAUAACUGAAACCUCUUUAAUUCAGACUACGCAGAUAGCUGAUGGAGAUGUCUGCCAUAAUAUAACUCUACCCAUUUACAUCAUACUUCCACGUCUUUUGACUUGUCCAACAAUUUAUGCUGGUCCAUUUUCAAUAGAGUUCAAAGUUUCGAUCGUCAUUACCUUCCAGUCAGAGCUAUUGAAGUUGAAUCCAAAAUCUGAUCCUAGAAUGCCUAGACUGUGGCUGGCAAUGGAAAGUGUACCGCUGGAACUGAUUCGAACAAAGUAAGAUGAUCCAUAUUGUAGGUAAUCUUCUGAUCAAACUCUUUUACCUUCUACACACAAAUUGAGUGAAAACUCCUGGAUAUGUACUUUAUUAAGUAUUUCAGUUGUUUGGAGAAGGCUCCUUGACAAGACCUGAAAGGAAGGAGGGUGGUAGCUAAAGCCUGCACUCGAAAUGAGGAUAUCUUCAGAGUGUGUCACCUGUGUCUUUCAUAUGACUCAAUGAUAGUUGGACAUCUUCAGAGACCAAAAAGGAAAAAUAAAAACUGAUGGCUACGAUGCGUAAAUACAGUUCUUUUCUUCUUUUGUUUUUUGAAAAUAUUCUCUCAUUUGAUUGUAGUCAAGGUUGGACAGUGUGUCGCCUGUGUCUCAAAACAUAUAAUUUCAAUGAUAAUUAACUUAUUCACAAGAAAUGUUGUGCCUGUAAAAAGUGGAUUUGUUUACUUCUCUAUCCUGUGGGACUAUUGCAAUAAAUAACAGAACCUCUCACUCAUUUCUUGCAACCUACUCAAGAAGUGUGUGAUGUUGUGAAUGAACCCUAAA